CAGGGAGACAACAAAAUGUUUAAUAUUAUUAUUUUGUCACCUUAGGUCGAUCGGUAUCUCACGUUCUUAAUUUAUUAAGAACUUCAUUUCCUAAGUUUUUCUAGGUCACACCCAUUAUUUUUCCUGGGCCAUUAGCUCAGGUGGUUAGAGCGCACCCCUGAUAAGGGUGAGGUCCCUGGUUCAAGUCCAGGAUGGCCCAUAUCUCUAUGUUGGGGGUAUAGCUCAGUUGGUAGAGCGCCUGCUUUGCAAGCAGGAUGUCAGCGGUUCGAGUCCGCUUACCUCCACUGAUUACCACCUCUUCCAUAUUUUAUAAAAAGGAAAUGUUUUGAGUUGUGAUCAAAUUCUGAACGAAUCUAGCUUCCUAAUGAAAUCAUUAAGAUGCUGGACUCAUUGAAUUAAUUUCAUUGUUUUCAGAGAACCUUGACAACUGCAUAGAUUAUUUUUAAAGACAAUAAGCAUCUUUGUGAUGCAGAUUUAUUAUUUGUGCGAAUGCAUUAAUAACAAUUCUAUUAAGCUGAUGCUUCAAUUUUGAAGUUAUU
rnacentral:tRNA from 1 species